AGAGUUUGAUCCUGGCUCAGGAUGAACGCUAGCGGUGUGCCUAACACAUGCAAGUCGUACGAAAAAGAAAUUUUUAGUGGCGAACGGGUGGGUAACGCGUGAGAAUUCACUCUUAUGGUAGAGGAUAACAAUUAGAAAUAGUUACUAAAACUCUAUAUGCUGUAAUAGUUUAAAAUCUAUGAAAGUGAAAAAAGAAAUUUGCCUAAGAAGAAGCUCGCGUCUGAUUAGCUAGUUGGUAGGGUAAUAGCCUACCAAGGCGAUGAUCAGUAGCUGGUUUGAGAGGAUGAUCAGCCACACUGGAACUGAGACACGGUCCAGACUCCUACGGGAGGCAGCAGUGAGGAAUUUUCUGCAAUGGGCGAAAGCCUGACAGAGCAACACCGCGUGAGGGAUGACAGCCUUCGGGUUGUAAACCUCUUUUCUCAAGAAGGAAGAUCUGACGUUACUUGAGGAAUAAGCAUCGGCUAACCCUGUGCCAGCAGCCGCGGUAAUACAGGGGAUGCAAGUGUUAUCCGGAAUUAUUGGGCGUAAAGGGUCUCUAGGUUGAAAUUUAAGUCUUUUGUUAAAUAAUAAGGCUUAACCUUAAUAAUGCAAAAGAAACUGUAUUUCUAGAGUUUGGUAGAAGUUAAGGGAAUUUCCAGUGGAGCGGUGAAAUGCGUAGAGAUUGGAAGGAACACCAAAAGCGAAAGCACUUAACUGGGCCAUGACUGACACUGACAGACGAAAGCUAGGGAAGCAAACGAGAUUAGAUACCCUGGUAGUCC
rnacentral:rRNA from 1 species